rnacentral:rRNA from 1 species
AACGAACGCUGGCGGCAGGCUUAACACAUGCAAGUCGAGCGCCCCGCAAGGGGAGCGGCAGACGGGUGAGUAACGCGGGGGAAUCUACCCAUCUCUACGGAAUAACGCAUGGAAACGUGUGCUAAUACCGUAUACGUCCUUCGGGAGAAAGAUUUAUCGGAGAUGGAUGAGCCCGCGUUGGAUUAGCUAGUUGGUGGGGUAAAGGCCUACCAAGGCGACGAUCCAUAGCUGGUCUGAGAGGAUGAUCAGCAACACUGGGACUGAGACACGGCCCAGACUCCUACGGGAGGCAGCAGUGGGGAAUAUUGGACAAUGGGCGCAAGCCUGAUCCAGCCAUGCCGCGUGAGUGAUGAAGGCCCUAGGGUUGUAAAGCUCUUUCACCGGUGAAGAUAAUGACGGUAACCGGAGAAGAAGCCCCGGCUAACUUCGUGCCAGCCGCCGCCGUAAUAC